rnacentral:rRNA from 2 species
AUUGGGCGUAAGCGCGCGCAGGCGGUUUCUUAAGUCUGAUGUGAAAGCCCACGGCUCUACCGUGGAGGGUCAUUGGAAACUGGGGAACUUGAGUGCCCAAGAGAAAAGCGGAAUUCCACGUGUAGCGGUGAAAUGCGUAGAGAUGUGGAGGAACACCAGUGGCGAAGGCGGCUUUUUGGUCUGUAACUGACGCUGAGGCGCGAAAGCGUGGGGAGCAAACAGGAUUAGAUACCCUGGUAGUCCACGCCGUAAACGAUGAGUGCUAAGUGUUAGAGGGUUUCCGCCCUUUAGUGCUGCAGCUAACGCAUUAAGCACUCCGCCUGGGGAGUACGGUCGCAAGACUGAAACU